GCACGCGGCCACCGAGCUGGAGGAGGCGGCGGGCGUGAGACCGGGAAUGCUUGGGGCCCCCGCCUUCCUCGCAGCCAUCCAGCACUCGGUGCACGCCCCGCGAGGCCAGCGGCUGCUCCCUCCCGGGGCUAUUGCUGCUAGUGCCGUGAGCACCGCCCAGCCAUUGUCUCUGUGUCUCCGUCAGCCGUGCCGAGCCGCGCACCCAGAGGCGAGGGCGCGCAUGGGGAGCCUCCGUUGAUGCUGCCGCGGCUGCCGCGCCGCCCUCCGAGGCUGCGUCCCGGGGAGUCCGGCUUCCCGAGCGCUCCGGCCUGGCCCGGCGCCCCGGACCUGAGUGCCUCCCCAUGGAGGCGCCCGGGCCGGCCCAGGCGGCCGCGGCGGAGAGCAACUCCCGAGAGGUGACGGAGGAUGCCGCCGACUGGGCGCCCGCGCUCUGCCCCAGCCCCGAGGCGCGGUCGCCGGAGGCGCCUGCCUACCGCCUGCAGGACUGCGACGCGCUGGUCACCAUGGGCACUGGGACGUUCGGGCGGGUGCACCUGGUGAAGGAGAAGACAGCCAAGCAUUUCUUCGCCCUCAAGGUGAUGAGCAUUCCCGACGUCAUCCGCCGGAAGCAGGAGCAGCACGUGCACAAUGAGAAGUCUGUCCUGAAGGAAGUCAGCCACCCGUUCCUCAUCAGGCUGUUCUGGACGUGGCAUGAGGAGCGCUUCCUCUACAUGCUCAUGGAGUAUGUGCCGGGUGGCGAGCUCUUCAGCUACCUGCGCAACCGGGGGCACUUCUCCAGCACCACGGGGCUCUUCUACUCUGCGGAGAUCAUCUGUGCCAUUGAGUACCUGCACUCCAAGGAGAUCGUCUACAGGGAUUUGAAGCCGGAGAACAUCCUGCUGGAUAGGGAUGGUCACAUCAAGCUCACGGACUUUGGGUUUGCCAAGAAGCUGGUAGACAGGACUUGGACCCUCUGUGGAACACCCGAGUACCUAGCCCCCGAAGUCAUUCAGAGCAAGGGCCACGGAAGGGCCGUGGACUGGUGGGCCCUCGGCAUCCUGAUAUUCGAGAUGCUUUCGGGGUUUCCUCCAUUUUUUGAUGACAACCCGUUUGGCAUUUAUCAGAAAAUUCUUGCAGGCAAACUAUAUUUCCCCAGACAUUUGGAUUUCCAUGUAAAAACGGGGCGAAUGAUGUGAAACACCAUCGGUGGUUCCGCUCCGUGGACUGGAAAGCUGUUCCGCAGAGAAAACUGAAGCCUCCCAUCGUGCCCACGAUAGCUGGCAACGGCGACACUUCCAACUUCGAAACUUACCCUGAGCAUGACUGGGACACAGCCGCGCCCGUGCCGCAGAAGGAUUUAGAAAUCUUCAAGAAUUUCUGAGGACGAGCUCACAUCUGGAAGAAACAGGAAGAUUGGAAUCUGCCUGGAACAAAGAACUGCACCUAAGCAGACCAGAAGCAAAAUGUCUUCUUCACGGCCUGAGGACAUUUCCAGUUUUCUCUGUACCUGUGUGUAUAGAAAUAGAUCAGAGCACAGUUGAAAUUCAUGGAACUGGCAUUAUUUAAGCAACCAGAAUUCCACACUGUAGGAAGGUUUUGAAAAUUGUUUCGUUAUAGAUUUUAUCUUAUCUUUUGGUGUUGUCUUGGUUUUUCUCAUAGACUUUAUAAGUUUGAACUGGACUUAUUUGAUUAUAACCACAAAUUGUGUGUGUGUGUGUGUGUGUAUAUAUAGAAGUCAUUAUGGCAGAUGCACAAAUUGUGCAGUGAUGUAAAUAUACAUACUUCACAGAGCCUAUUAUUUUUAUUUUUCAAUUCAGUUUCUCAAAUUAUCUUCCCUUCUCUUGGGGACAACAUCUGAAGGGUAUGUUGCAUGCAUUUUUAAAAAAAUCAUCUCAUAUGCAUUGUAUAGUUUGGGGGAAUAAGAUAUCCGGGGGCCGGGGGUGUCUACAUUCAGUAUCUUUAGUUCUUCCUACCUAGUAACUUGAGACUUUAAAAGAAGAAACAUGGAGAAGAUGUGGGAGCGAAUUUAUUGCAGGAAUCCACAAUGACUUUGAAGUUGUUGGAGCAAUGCAUUGUAUUCAGAAAACCUGUGUCACAUUAAAAAAUUUCAUCUAGGCUAGGUGCAGUGGCUUGUUCCUGUAGUCCCAGCACUCUGGGAACCUGGGUUGGGAGGAUUGCUUAAGGCCAGGAGUUUGAGACCAGCUUGGGCAACAUAGUGAAACCCUGUCUGUAUGGAAUUUACACAAAUUAUAAAAAUUAGUCGGGUGUCAUUGUGCAUACCUGUAGUCCCAGCUAUUCAGGAGCUGUGGUAGGAGGAUGGCUUGAGCUCAAGAGGUUGAGGCUGCAGUGAGCCCUGAUUGUGCCAGUGCACUCCAGCCUGGACGACAGAGCAAGACCCUGUAUUAAAAAAAAAAUUCAUCCUGCACAGGGAAAUGGCUACCUAUUAAAGUCCCAGUUGAAAUUUUUUGAAAAAAUACACCUCCCACAGUUCACAAAUAACUUUUAAGAUCAGCUCAUCUAUAAGGCUGACCUUCAUGCAGAGAUUUUAUUUCACCUUUAGUUUUGGGAAAAGCGAGAAACAGAUGAUCUAUAGGAUGUGAGUGGGUGGCAGAGUCAAAAGGAACCUCACCUGUUCCUAAUUUCUCCUUUUAAAUAUUCAUGUUGAGUGUGCCUAAUACUCUCCUCGACAAGUCAUGCUGUUUUAUGCAGAAUAAUCCAGGCGUGAGAGUGUUCUCUUGGGAAAUGACUGGGGAGACACCUGAAAGGAGCAACCUCCAGAUGUUCUUCCCUGGGUGUUGAUGUCAUGACAGCCAUACAGUGAGUUUGUUCUGAAACAUCUCUUGCUAAAUGUGGGUCAUGCUAGACACAGCAUAAACUGAGGGUGUGGGUUCUGGCUUUGUACAUAACUCAUUUUCUCCCUUGCUUUUUCUCUGGACCAUCCUGGCUGGAAACUUGGCUGUAGACAUCUGAAGAGGGUGCACCUUUUCUCUUUACUGUGACUCACCUCAAAUAUGGCAUUGCUCAAAUCUGCUGUGUAUGAGGUCACAGGGCCCAGCUGUGGCAGGGGUGAGUGCAUUGAAGAAGUAGGUUUUGGAGCCUUCCAGGAAUUCCUUGUUGACAACAGGGGUACACUCACACAGACCUCCAAGACUUUCUUCUCCACCUCUUCUUUUUCUCAUGCCCUGCCUUCAUCUGUCUCCUUCUGCACCCAGAGUAGGGGUGGAGUAUACCCUUGCCAUGUGUUAGUGAAAAUGUGUGCAGUGAGAAGCCAGUUGGGUCCCCUCGGCUCCUAAUCUCUUCUCAAAACUCAGUAGCUCAGGUUCUCUGGAGCCAUCCGGUGCAUUCCUUGCUAUUGGAGCUGUUUUUCCAAGCAAUAUCUGGGAAGAGAUUUCUCCCUCUAGCACUUGCUACCUCUCUUCUGCACACAUAUCACACAUCAGUACUGUGGAGAGUUUCUGUUAGGAAAAGCCAUACAUUUUUAAAAAUGUAGCAAAAUGUCAAGGGAAAUGUAAUCAGAUUUGGCCAGAGUUCGCCUACAGAUAAGAAGGCACUGGGCCAGGCUCACACCUGUAAUCCUAAGUAACACUUUGGGAGGCUGGGGCGAGAGGAUUGCUUGAGCCCAGGAGUUCAAUACCUGUCUGGGAAACACCUCAUCUCUACAAAAUACAAAAAAGUUAACUGGGCAUGGUGGAGCAUGCCUGUAGUCUCAGCUACUCAGGAGGCUGAGAUGAGAGGAUCACUUGAGCCUGAGGAGGUCCAGGCCACAGUGAUCUGAGAUCACACCAUUGCCCUCCAGCCUGGGUGACAGAGUGAGACCCUGUUCCAAAAAAAAAAAAAAACCCAAAAAACCUCAAUGGCUUUUUGCUUUUGAAGGUGGUAUGAAGAGAACGUCCACUUUAAGGCUUUAAAAGACAGUGAAGCUGGUUGUAGGGCUCACUUUUAUAAUCCUAGGAUUUGGGGAAGCUGAAGCAGAAAGAUUGCUUGAGCCUGGGAGUUUGAGACUGGCCUGGGCAGCAUAGCGAGACCCCAUCUCUAUAUAAAAAAAAAGAUGUUAAAACAGUGAAAUUACAGAAACAGAACAUAGCCACCCUGUUUCAUCAGUGACCUUUUCUUCACGUGACGGUCAACUCAGUAGGUGAGAAUAAUUAGUAGGUUCAGCAGAAUAAACUCUUUACAAUUAAUAACUCAGUGGAAAAUGAUGUUCAGAUGGUGAAAUGUGGAAAUGUUUUAGACAACUCUAUUUUCAGCCUGUGCUUCUCACUCACCAUCCUGUUGGGAUUAACAGUUGAGGGCCAUCGCUGCCUAAACAUUUAGCGUGCGGUUUCCCAUCAGUUUUACUGUGAAUGUGAAAAGGUGAAACUGUUGCUGACUUCGGCAGCAGGUAUACUAAAAUUGGAAUGACACAGAGGAGAUUAGCAUGGCCCCCUGCGCGAGGAAGAUCCGCAGAUUCAUGCAGCAUUCCAUAUUUUUUUAAAAAAAGGUUACACUGUGCACCGACGUGGAGCUAGAAGGAAAAGCAUGAAGUCUCAUGUUUGCUGACUAUAAAAAUAAAUCAUAGUAAUAAUAUUAUUGAACAUUCUACUUUAAAAAUUAUUAAUAAAACCAUAAAUGAAACACUUGAGCACACUUUAAAAAGUACAUAAACCCAUGAGUCCAUAUGUGUAAUUUUAUGUUGUCUGUUUUAUUAUCCAGGAUUUCAUACUCAGAUGAGCAUUAGCAUCAGGAAAGCCUGAAAUGCCUUAAUUGUGAACUGAUACGCAGGAAAAUGAAAUAUGUAAGCACAUUGGUGACCUUGUUCUUUACAGACAUCAUGAUCAGCCUCCAGCCAUACAGAACAAAUGAGAAAUUAGAAGCAAUUCCAAGAACGUGUGAUGGUGUGAAACCCACUUUUGACCGUCACACACAUUUCAGCAUUUGAAGAGACACAGGCUACCUGGAAACUGCCCAUGGCGGGGUCAUAAUUUAAAUGUCCCAAUGUCAUAUAGAGGUUAAUUUAAUCAAAAUGAGCUAAAACAUGGAACAAUCACUGAAUAAUUUAAAAAGAGUUUACCUGGCAGAGUGUGUCAUGCCUGCAAUCCCAGCACUUUGGGAGGCCAAGGCAGGCAGAUCACCUGAGGUCAGGAGUUUGAGACCAGCCUGGCCAACAUGAUGAAACCCUUGUCUCUAUUAAAAACACAAAAAUUAGCCAGAUGUGGUGGCACAUGCCUGUAAUCCCAGUUAGUCGGGAGGCUGAGGCAGGAGAAUAUGGAACUCAGGAGGCGGAGGCUGCAGUCAACCAAGAUUGCGCCACUGCACUCCAGCCAGGGCGAAGGAGUGAGACUCCCAUCUCAAAAAAUAAAAAAAAAAAUAAAUAAAAAUAGUUGACCCGGGUGGGCAUUCCAAAAUGUUCCCAUAGAUGAUCGUGAAACAAUCACUGUGCAAAAUGUAGAGGAAAAUUCUUACGAUAAUCACAAAAUUUGUAUCAGAAAAACAUUACAAAUUUACUUUGCUCCAUGUAAUUUUAUGAAUUGGCAGUAUUUUCUUAAAUUGGGAUACAGUAAGAGAAUAUCUUUAGGAAAUGGAAAUGUUAAAACAAGAAGUAACAAGAGGUUGUUUUUCUGAAGGGAAAUGCCACCGGCCUGCUUUCAUAGGCAUUGAUAAAGCCAGGAAGGAAAUAAAGUCACAACCGAAUAGUAUACACUGUAUCUACUGAAUUCUUCUAAUUCCUUCACAACAGAAGUCUAAAUCCUGCUUAGCCUAAACAUAUCUAUAGCCAGCGAUGGGCAAAUUAUAUUUGCUGUCAGCAUGAUGGAAUAAGAAACAGAAACCCCCCAGCAGUGGGGUAAGAUUGCACGCUUCAUCCCCUCAAAAUGCAGUUCAGCCCCACUCCCUCUCCAUGCCCAUCAAACAACUGCAAAAUCACUUGUUACUGAAUUUCUCAUUCAGCGUUUUGUUUCUUUCUGUCCAUACUUAAAGACCAAAUUAUUUGUUUGCUUUGAAGAAAAAGCAAAAGCAACAAAAACACCAAAUCAUUUGAAAUCACUACCCAUUAAAAAAAAUCACCAGUGGAACUAAACAGUUGAGUGGUUUGGGAUGUGUUGUUCGCCAUUUCUGUGUUUGACCUACAUGGUCUCUAGUUCUUUGGACAAUUGUAACUGUGAAACUAUGGCUUAACACUGUUAAAGACUCCAAGGCUCCACUCUGUAGCCAGGUGCAACUCAGGCUGCACAAAUACCCCACCAGAAUGUCACAAUCAUUCAUUGCUCCAGCUGCUGAGUGAACAGAGUGCAAGACAGCACUGGCUUGGGUUUUAUUUUUGCAGCCAGUUAACUUUGCAUCAGGUCUACACAGUCCUUGCAGCCUUUGAUUUCUCCAGUUGUACAGAUUUGAAAUGGGGUGCCCGGGUUCCUCUCGUUUUUCCUUCAAUCUACCUAGCAUGCAUUUUACACACAUUGGAGGAGUCGUAUGCACUGUUUUUCUCUUGCUGAUGGAGGCAAGAACGCCUUCUAAUUAGUAUAACUUAAAUGGACGGGAUUCACUUAAAAGCAAGAAGAAAAGCACAUGAACAGGUGUCUUAAUGCAUUUGGAUACUUUGGGGUGUGUGCCUGUCUGUGUGUGUGUCUUGGUGAAGGUGGGCUGUAUUUUCACCAAGCCUUUUCAUAAUCAAGUUUGCUUUGCAAACCAUCUGGCCUUGCCCCCAGCAGUACAGUCCUUCCUAAUAACGGGGAUGCUCUGUCAUGUUUCUCUGUAAAUUGUUGUGUGUUGGGAAGUUCUGUUGAGGCUUAGUUUGAUCUUCCAUGGUGGACAUGUCUGUUCUGUAUAUAAAAAGCAUUACAUCUGUGUUUUAGCAGGUGGGAUUUGAAGCUUUUCCACAGUCCUUGUGCUCUGAGAUGGCUGUUGAGCUCUGCUCAGCUGUCACAGCUGAAUUCUUUUUUUGUGCUGAACACUGGGCAGCCUCACCUUGUUGCCAACGUGCUUCUGGGGCCCCUGUGACUGCUGCCGGAUGCUGUGCACACAGGCAGAGUGCCUUGGCAGGUUUGUGCACCCCUUGGCGAGCCAGAACUGGGAACCCCGCGGAGUGACCCCACCUUCUCAUGGGGGGUCAGGGAGGGGAGUGCCUAUUUUUAAUCUUGUUUGUUGCGCAAUGGAAAUCACUGUGAUUUGUACAUAUGCCCUAGGAAAAUUUUACCGCUGUCUAAUUUAUGUAAUAAUACUGAUGAUUCUAGGUUUGUUUAAUAAAACUUUAUAUCUUUUCAGAA